rnacentral:misc_RNA from 1 species
CGCACAUUGCGCCCCUUGGUAUUCCGAGGGGCAUGCCUGUUCGAGCGUCAUUAUACCCCAUCUAGCUUGCUAGGUAUUGGGCUUCGCGGUUCGCGGGCCCUAAAAUCAGUGGCGGUGCUCCCCAGCUCUACGCGUAGUACAUUUCUCGCUCCAGGGCCGUGGGAUGCAGCAGCCAGAAUCUUUCUUUUUUAGGUUUGACCUCGGAUCAGGUAGGGAUACCCGCUGAACUUAA